rnacentral:rRNA from 1 species
CCUACGGAUGACUGCAGUAGGGAAUCUUUCACAAUGGGCGAAAGCCUGAUGGAGCAACGCCGCGUGCAGGAUGAAGGCCUUCGGGUUGUAAACUGCUUUUAUAAGCGAGAAAUAUGAUGGUAACUUAUGAAUAAGGAUCGGCUAACUACGUGCCAGCAGACGUGGUGAUACGUAGGAUCCGAGCAUUAUCCGGAGUGACUGGGUGUAAAGAGUUGCGUAGGUGGCAUAAUAAGUAGCUAGUGAAAUCUGGUGGCUCAACCAUUCAGACUAUUAGCUAAACUGUUAAGCUCGAGACCGUUAGGAGUAACUGGAAUGUCUAGUGUAGGAGUGAAAUCCGUAGAUAUUAGAAGGAACACCAAUAGCGUAGGCAGGUUACUGGGACGGUUCUGACACUAAGGCACGAAAGCGUAGGGAGCGAACGGGAUUAGAUACCCGAGUAGUC